rnacentral:rRNA from 1 species
UACGUAGGGGGCAAGCGUUAUCCGGAUUUACUGGGUGUAAAGGGAGCGUAGACGGCGAUGCAAGCCAGAUGUGAAAGCCCGGGGCUCAACCCCGGGACUGCAUUUGGAACUGUAUAGCUAGAGUGUCGGAGAGGCAGGCGGAAUUCCUAGUGUAGCGGUGAAAUGCGUAGAUAUUAGGAUGAACACCAGUGGCGAAGGCGGCCUGCUGGACGAUGACUGACGUUGAGGCUCGAAAGCGUGGGGAGUAAACAGG